CUAGUCUCGGUUCGUCACUGACCCUCAGUGAUCGGGUUUAGCAGCCCGAUAC
rnacentral:ncRNA from 1 species